GGAAUCUUGGACAAUGGGGGCAACCCUGAUCCAGCGACGCCGCGUGGGUGAUGAAGGCCUUCGGGUUGUAAAGCCCUUUCACCGGGGACGAUGAUGACUGUACCCGGAGAAGAAGCACCGGCUAACCCCGUGCCACCAGCCGCGGUAAGAGGGAGGGUGCUAGCGUGGUUCGGAAUCACUGGGCGUAAAGGGGGCGUAGGCGGCCUGGGAAGUCGGCUUGUGAAAGCCCGGGGCUCAACCCCGGAGGUGCGGCCGAUACUCCUAGGCUCGAGGCCGGAAGAGGAGGGUGGAAUACCCAGUGUAGAGGUGAAAUUCGUAGAUAUUGGGUGGAACACCGGUGGCGAAAGCGGCUCUCUGGUCCGGUCCUGACGCUGAGGCGCAAAAGCGUGGGGAGCAAAC
rnacentral:rRNA from 1 species